UGGUAGCUGAGUGAGUAGAAGUGACUCCUCAGAUAGAAGUCGUAGCGCCACCGGUCCGGGUUCGAAUCCCGGUAAGAUCUAAGAAGCAUGGCCACCAGCAGAGUAGCAGAGUAUCACUUCCCUGAACACUGAUACAGGAGUCAGACAUAGCAAUGAAAUAUGAGGUAACCAAAGGAACCACAAUAGAAAGCUCUAAAGUAAAAUCGAAGGAAAGCAAAGUCUAUAAUAAAUUCUGUAAAUAGUAACCCCUUAGGAUUAAGCAUAAAGUGAACCUAACACGAUGUACUCGGAUGAUCUACCAUAGCAACCCCAUAGAAUUAAGCAUAAAGUGAACCUAGUGAAGAUGGAGCGGUGUGCCCCGUUGGAAGGAAAGAAACACCAUUAAUAAAACUUGUAAAUAGUACCCUCAUAGAAUUAAGCAAAAAGUGAAUGUGAUGAAAAGAAUGAAAAGAAAAAGAAAAGAUGUACUCAGAAGGCUCUAAAGAUGAAUUCAGGAAAAGCAAAACCAAUAAUAAAAUCUGUAAAUAGUAACCUAAUAGAAUUAAGCAUAAAGUGUAACUAAUAAAAUUUUU